UGUUGUUGUUGUUAAGUUUUGAUGAACGCCUCGCUUUUGAAGAUACAUUUAUCGAACGAAAAACGUAAUACAUUCUAUUCGCAAUAAAUAUCACGAACAGUAUUAAAAGAGAAGAGAAAAGGAACCUACGAAUAAAAUAUCGCUAUUACAGACGAUAUAAUACGAGAAAGAAGCAACACGAAAAUCGCUUGAUUCGAUCGAUAUUGCCUACCCAACUAUGUGUCAAACGAUACGACAUACAUAUAACAGUGCAUCGUCAAAAGUGUCCCGUUUGUUGGAAACGAGCCAUUACAGACAUUCUUUUGUUCCUUCGUUGUCGAUUCUUACAUUGAACGUCCAACAUAUUGUUGUGUAACACGAUUUUGUCGAAUAACGUUCGUGAAUUAUUGUUUCGUUUAUCGUUUUAUUUUUUUUUUUUNUUUUUUUUUUUUUUUUUUUCGUUUUGCAACAGGACACGCCAAGCAUCAUCGAACACGGACAUAAAGGAACUAUUUACAUACUUGUGAUCGUCGAUCAGCCAGGAAGAGUGGAGGCGGACAAAUUUUGGCACCUCGGAAAACAACAUAUCUUGCUCUUCACUGUGGAAUACUUUUCGUUAUUUAGGAUUCUCGAUUGUGAAUGAUACGAGUCAGACAAAACUAUCGAGACAAAACUGGUGGGUGUAAAUAUGGGAAAAAAUGUGGAAGAGAUUCUCAAAAUUUAUGCGUUCAGAGGAUAGGAAAAAUGGGAAAAUUUCAUUGAGAUUAAUUAAUUAUUAUUUUGUUUGAAUGAAAAUAAUUAAAUAGAUAGAUAGAAAUUAUAUUAAUUUUGAACUUAAAAAUUAGAAAUUUUCCAAGUAUAAUUGCACAAUUAUUAAUUUUAAUUCGAAUUAAAACUAUAUACUAAACUAUAUACUAAAAAAUUCUGGUUUUCUAAUUAGAUAUUAUUACAGCAAUCAUAUUCGGCUGUUCAUAUCACUGUUAAUUAUAUAUAUUAAUACUAAUUAAUUAUUUGUUUUUAAUUGGAGUAAAUAUAUAUAUAUAUUUCAAUAGAUUUCGCCAUAAUUCUGAAAUAAAUUAAACUGAAGAUAAACGAGGAUGUUGCAAGUUACUCUAUACAUAAUCUAAUCUAAAAUAAAUUAUCUUUCUCUUGUUUAAAUAUUCUCUUGUGUGCGUUGAGAUUUUUGAUGUUAAAAAGAAUAAAAAACUAUGAAAUGACGAU